rnacentral:rRNA from 1 species
UACGUAGGGGGCAAGCGUUGUCCGGAAUCAUUGGGCGUAAAGAGCGUGUAGGCGGCCAGAUAAGUCCGCUGUGAAAACUCGAGGCUCAACCUCGAGACGCCGGUGGAAACCAUCUAGCUAGAGUCCGGAAGAGGAGAGUGGAAUUCCUGGUGUAGCGGUGAAAUGCGCAGAUAUCAGGAAGAACACCCGUGGCGAAGGCGGCUCUCUGGGACGUGACUGACGCUGAGACGCGAAAGCGUGGGGAGCGAACAGG